CAACCCUCAGGGCCCGCCUGCUUGCAGGCGCGGCGCUGGUGUUGGGGAUCGGCUCCUCCGCCGUCCCCCAAAUACAGUGGCGGUCUCGCUGCAGCCUCCCCUGCGUAGUAGCAACACUCGCAUGCGGAGCGCGGCGCGGCCACGCCGUAAAACCCCCGACUUUCUGAA
rnacentral:misc_RNA from 1 species